AUGAUAAUAGAUAAUACUUUUGAUGCAAUCUGCUUGAGUGAAACCUGGCUAAAACCAAAUUAUUAUUUUGGUCUAAACGAGUCUACUCCACCAAAAUACUGUUAUAAGCAUGAGCCCCGUCAGACUGGUCAACAAUAUAUAGUGAUAUUCUCAAUGUUACCCAGAAAACAGGAUACAUACAGGUUUAACUCAUUAGAAAUACUUCUGCUUAAUGUUUCACUGUCAGACAUGCAAAAGAAAUCUAAUGUAUCUCUUGCUCUGGCUACUGUGUAUAGACCACCAGGGCCGUAUACAGAAUUCCUAAAAGAAUUUGCAGAUUUCCUCUCAGACCUUCUGGUUACAGUUGAUAAAGCGCUAAUCAUUGAUAAUAAAAAUGAUGCAUUAGGACUUACGUUUACUGACCUAAUAAACUCUGCUUUUGGAGUCAAGCAAAAUGUCACCGGGCCCACUCAUCGUUUUAAUCAUACACUAGAUUUAAUUAUAUUGCAUGGAAUCGAUGUUACUGCUAUAGAUAUUGUAUCUCAAAGUGAUGAUGUUACAGACCAUUUACUUGUAUCGUGCAUGCUGCGUAUUACUGAUAUUAACUAUAUGUCGCAGCGAUACCGUCUGGGCAGAACUAUUGUUCCAGCCACCAAAGAAAGAUUCGCAAAUAACCUGCCUGAUCUAUCUCAACUGCUAUUUGUACCCAAAAAUACACAUGAAUUAGACGAAAUUACUGACAACAUGGGCACUAUUUUCUCUAAUACAUUAGAAACUGUUGCCCCCAUCAAAUUGAAAAAAGUUAGAGAAAAACGUACUGUACCAUGGUAUAACAGUAAUACUCACUCUCUCAAGAAAUUAACUCGUAGUCUUGAACGCAAAUGGAGAAAAACUAACUUGAAAUUUAUUAGAAUUUCAUGGAAACACAGUAUGUCCAGCUAUAGACAGGCUCUAAAAACUGCUAGGGCAGACCAUAUACACAAACUCAUUGAAAAUAACCAAAACAAUCCAAGUCUUUUAUUUAGCACAGUGGCUAAGUUAACAAAUUACCAGACGCCACCUGAUUCAAAUAUUCCAUCAACGUUUAAAAAUAAUGCCCUUAUGAAUUUCUUCACUGAUAAACUAGAUGACAUUAGAAAUACAAUAGCGAAUGUAGAUUCUACAACAUCUAACACUUCAGUUUCAUCCAUCGCACCCAAAGAUAAACUGCAGUGCUUUACAACUUUAGGACAGGAAGAACUAAAUAAACUUAUGACUGUAUCUACUUCUCAAUAUCAUUAA
rnacentral:lncRNA from 1 species